UUUACCUUUUUAUUUUAAAAAUAUAAUAUAACUUAUAUCUUGAGAAAAUAUUUUGUUUCCUCUUUUAAAAAAUUUCGAAUAUGAAAUAACACAAUCCUAUUGGUGGGUGAACCUCUAAACCCUAGGGAGUGAACCCAAGAAUAAGUCUUAAAUUUAUAUCUCUAUAAAGUAACUAAAAAUUUUAAAACUUUGAGACCUCAUUUAUUACCCAUACAACCUUUCAAUUAUUUUUGUCAAAAAUAAUCCAAUUGUUUACUUCGGAUUAUUCAUCAAGAAGAUUCCACCAAUCCAUCUUAAGAGUUCACUAGACCAACAUUUAAACUAAAACAAGAAAGAAAGUUUGUGUUUUAAAAUAAAGUGUUUUAAAAAGAAAAAAAAAAGAAAGUUUAGAUUCAGAUAACUUAUGGCAAACAAAAACAGCAAAUUAGUUGCCCACAAAUUAACAUACUUUGAAUAUAUAUAUAUAAUAAAAAUAAUUAAAUAAAUUUUUUACUCAAUAUAAAAAAUGAAAAUAGUGGUAAAAUAGAAAAAAAAUAAAAUUAAGAAACAUAUGAAAACUGUAUUUAAUAGUGGUAUCAAUUCCUUAAAAAGAAAGUUGAAGAAAAUUAAUUUUACACUUAAUAUCUACCAAAAAUAUGCACUCCCUUAAAUUAACUACAACCAAAACACAAAAAAAUCAGUAGCGCACAACUUCUAUACAUCAUUUCUGCAUUCACUCAUAAAAAAACUAGAAUCUAUAAAAAAUAAAAAUUAUGUAAACAAAACAUCAAAAAUCAAAAAAUUAACCACAGAUCAAACAUAAAUAUAUAAAUACAAUUUUGUUUUUGAAAUACUACAUGCAUAACACUUAAAAUGAUCACAUAGCAAUAGAGGAAGAAGACUAUAUAAAACAUUUUCAUUUUUAUAAACAGAAAAUAUCCAUUCCCC
rnacentral:lncRNA from 1 species